rnacentral:lncRNA from 1 species
ACCAGAAGAUUUUGUCUGCAAGAGCCACACACGGAUUAACGCAAUUGGAAGGAACUGUUCUGAAGAAG